rnacentral:tRNA from 1 species
GCCUUCGUGGUGUAACGGUAGCACACUCGGUGCGUAUUCGAGAGAUCCAGGUUCGAAUCCCGGCGAGGGCA